UACGUAGGUGGCAAGCGUUGUCCGGAAUUAUUGGGCGUAAAGCGCGCGCAGGCGGUCCUUUAAGUCUGAUGUGAAAGCCCUCGGCUCAACCGAGGAGGGUCAUUGGAAACUGGAGGACUUGAGUGCAGAAGAGGAAAGUGGAAUUCCAAGUGUAGCGGUGAAAUGCGUAGAUAUCAGGAGGAACACCGGUGGCGAAGGCGGCCCUCUGGACGGAUACUGACGCUGAGGCGCGAAAGCGUGGGGAUCAAACAGG
rnacentral:rRNA from 1 species